AGGUCCCAUGCAAUCUUUGACUUGUGAACCCCGUCAGGUCCGGAAGGAAGCAGCGGCAGCGAGCUCAAGAUGUGCCAUGGGUCGCCUGAC
rnacentral:SRP_RNA from 1 species